rnacentral:rRNA from 1 species
AUUGAACGCUGGCGGCAGGCCUAACACAUGCAAGUCGAGCGGAUCGGCGGACGGGUGAGUAAUGCCUAGGAAUCUGCCUGGUAGUGGGGGAUAACGUCCGGGAACGGGCGCUAAUACCGCAUACUAUCAGCAGAGCCUAGGUCGGAUUGGCUAGUUGGUGGGGUAAAGGCCUACCAAGACGACGAUCCGUAACUUGUCUGAGAGGAGGAUCAGUCACAAUGGAAGGGAGAACCCGCCCAGACUCCUACGGGAGGCAGCAGUGGGGAAUCUUGGCCAAUGGGCGAAAGCCUGAUCCAGCCAGGCCGAGUGUGUGAAGAAGGCAUUCGGGUUGUAAAGCACUUUAAGUUGGGAGGCGUUACCAACAGAAUAAGCACCGGCUAACUUCGUGCCAGCAGCCGCGGUAAUUC